UACGUAGGGUGCAAGCGUUGUCCGGAUUUAUUGGGCGUAAAGAGCGUGUAGGCGGCCAAGCAGGUCAGCUGUGAAAACUCGAGGCUCAACCUCGAGACGUCGGUUGAAACCGCUUGGCUAGAGUCCGGAAGAGGAGAGUGGAAUUCCCGGUGUAGCGGUGAAAUGCGCAGAUAUCGGGAAGAACACCCGUGGCGAAGGCGGCUCUCUGGGACGGUACUGACGCUGAGACGCGAAAGCGUGGGGAGCGAACAGG
rnacentral:rRNA from 1 species